GAUGGAGUUGAAGACUAAUUUAGUCUCAUAGCCUACCCAAGCCUCAAUUAACUUUGAGGAAACACAGUUGUCUGGAUGAUUUUCUAAUGGUAGUAGUCGUGCACAACUUAUAUUUGAUGCAAAAAGUUUGUUUUUUAUUAAACAGAAAGGGUGAUGUGUAGGAUGAUGUCAUUAUGCAGCAAGGCGGGUCCAGGAUAAGGCGUAGCCUAUCAUUGGAUGAGAAGGACGGGUAGGUGGGGAAAAGUCUAGGAAGGAGGGAGGAGGGGGAGCGAGAGAUCAAGAUGGAGUCUACAAAGGAGGAUGGUUCAGAUAUGGGUGAACUACAUCGAUUUUUAUCUUGUCUAGAUUUAUUUAUUUUAUAUAUGUGAGCACACUGUAGCUGUCCUCAGACACACCAGAAGAAGGCAUCAGAUCUCAUUACAGAUGGUUGUGAGCCACCAUGUGGUUGCUGGGAAUUGAAUUCAGGACCCCUGGAAGAGCAGCCAGCCAUCUCUCCAGCCCUUAACUUGGACUCUUAACGACAAGAGCUGCAGAAGUCACUGUGGUCAGCCGGGCUCUGCUACUGCUGCUGUGUAGCCAUAGGCCAAUCUUCUUACCUGGGUACCUGACAUCAGACAUCUCUUACUGGACCGUCAGGCUGUGAGGGAACUUGUGAAGAGCCUAA